GGCCAAACUCAGAUAGAUUUCUUAUUUUUGUUUUGCCAAGUGAGGGCGCUGUUGCGGGAAUACGGGAGCUAAGCAAAAGCAACAUGGCUUCAGCUCAAUCAUGUCAAUGACGACAGAAUUUGCAACCUGUGGAAUUCUUCGCCCAAAGCAUUAACUGGCCAAGGUUUAUUAAACGUCAAUCUGUGCCUAUACCUGAGCCUGACAAGUGUACGACUACCAAAACUGUCAGAAGUUGUACAAGACAAUAAAAUCUUCUGGAUCUGCGCACAGCA
rnacentral:lncRNA from 1 species